GCCCCUGACUAGAGGGGACAACUGAGCGCUUUCCCUGGGAACACUGAUGGCCAGAGCAUCAGCUCUGUAGAACCAGGGAGAGAAGGGGUGGGAGCCGCACUCAUUUUGCUAGGAGUGAAGAAAACAGAAGAAUGCCAUUUCAGUCAUUUUUCUUCCCUCUGUAAGGAAAUGGAGAGUGGAGUCCAAGGCGGCGUGUUCCACCCGCACCUUCUCUGUCACAGGACCUGGCCACAUUUCUGAGGAUGUUUUGAGCCUCCGUCCUUUGAAGGUGUGUCACCUGGUUUUGUGCCAUUCGUCCUGGCAUCCCCAGUCAGACCGUGCCAGUCUCCACUCUGCAAUCCAUCAUGACGGAAGGGUUGCCCGGCUCAGCUAUUUGUGAAGACCUGAAUAAACCCCCUUUUAAUCCAAAAGCAAACUCCCAGAGGAACGGCCUGAAAGGGCCUUUCAUAGCGUGUUUUCCAGCUCAUACAUUUUGAGUUCCUUGAGACUUCUCUGGGUUGUCUGCCCUAAUGGUCUCUGAGCACAUUCCUGAUCCUGACUGCGGCUUGCUGGUCUACUGAGGUCCCCAGCAUCAAAGGGGAAAAGGGAAAAAGCUCAUACGGGCUGCAGGCUGGGCGGGUUCGUGCUGGAAGAAAUGCACGCACGCACAGCUGUGUGGCGUGUUCUCUCUGCCCUGUUUGAAAGGAGCACUUCUCUGAAUGAUGUUCUCAGAGCCAGAAUCCUCUGUUGGGUGUGCUGGACAAGAGCCCCACCACUACGCUACAUCCACGGGCUUUUACCAAGUUUUGAGACAGACUCUCGCCCAGCCCGUUGGAUCCUGCUGUGGCAGCCCAGUUCAGCCAUCACAGUGAAGGCUGCAGUAGAUUUUGAGAUAUUCCAUUUGCCUUUCUACAAAGGAGCUUUCCUGACGGGAGCAGUCCUCCAGAGAGAGCUCACAUGGUCAGGUCUGGACAGACUGGUAGCCGGCGCUGAGUCCGGUUCCCCUUCGCUCUGUGCUGGGACUAAGCUGGACGGAGGAUCCAUGACGACCGUGGACACUCAGCUCAGAAGCUGGGCAGCCCAGCAUCCAUCCGGUGGCAGCAGCUUUGCAAACGGGACAGCAAGCCUGUGGGCUGGCCUCUGUCCCUCACUGCCGAGAGGAUUUAUCAUCUGUCUUUUCUUAUGUUGAUGUUGGAGCCAAAGUUUAUUGGUUAUAAAUGUUAAAAACAUAAAUUUGCGGUAGCUCUCCCCACAUGUCUGGGAAGUCCACAGUCACACCUGGACAGGCACCCAAAGUAGGUGUGGGGGGAGGGGGAAAUGCUGCUUCAGGAAGUGCUGUCACCAUGUCUUGGAAGGAGCACGGACCAUUGCUCCUAGGUGUGGACUUAGCAGGUGCUCACGUGGCCAGGGAGGACAGACCGAAGUGGGGGAGGCUUCCAAGCUGAGCACUGCCUGUAGGAACCUCUACAGGGGCAAGCAGGGAGAGCAGGAGAUUGUGCCUGGUGGCGUGCAGCUACACCCUAAACAAAGACUGGCAUGGCAGACCCUUGCUAUGAUAGCCCUUGAGUGAUGUGUUAGAUGCCCUUCCUCCUUGGCCAUGAAGAGACAGGGACGGAGAGCCUCAGAGGAGAGGGGUGGGUAGAGAGAAGCCCCGACAGCCCCAGCCUCUGUCAGGCAGCUAUGAGCCUCCCAAUCUGACUCCUGACUCCAGAGCCAAGAAUCUUCGAGAUGAGCCCCACUUCUAUUCGGUGAAGGAAGAACUCAAUGAGAAAUGCCGUUUUAGCAGAUCGACUCUUAGACUUUGGAACGAGACGACAGUCCUUGAAGCAUUGUGUCACUGUUGGGGUAAUGGGGAGUCAUUUGUCACAAAUCGAAGAAUUGGGGCUUUGGCCCCUGGCCUGCCACCACAGUGACACUCUGACAAGUAUCCCCACCACCACACCUCAAGCAACCUUUCCAGACGCGCUCCACCCCUCUCCCCUUCACCACCUGGAAAUCCCUUCCCUCUCCGCUCUGUCCCUUCCUCCCCUCCCUUCCUCCUUCAUUUCUUUCCUUGCCCCUCCCCUGUUUCUCUUCCUUCCUCUGUCCUUUCCCCCCUUCCCUCCCCCUCCCUGCCUCUCCCUCUCCCUCUUGUUCCCCCCCCCUUUCUUCCUUUCAUUCUUCUCCGUCCUCAGAGGACCCGCCCAGAGGGAUGGACAGACUUCGAGCUGGCCCCUGCCAUACUCCUGGGGCCAGGACCCCCCAUGGUGGGCCAUGGGUAAAUACUUUCUAGUGAAGGGGCAACAUCUUGUCACCAAGGGGGAUGAACCAUCAUUCCUGGGGUAGACAGGCACUCAAGCGCAUGUGCUCAGAGCCUGCUGUUUCUCCCCUGUGGCACUUAGAUAGUGGGCUUCAGGGCCCAUUCUGAACCCACCGGACUUCUCCUCUGGAUGAAGCCCGCAGAGUGUCCAGGUUUGGUCUUUUGCUAUGUAUUGUAAUGCUAAAUAUAUCCCCCCAGCCCCCAGACCUGGUUACCCACAGGGAUGAGAGAAUUCAUGCAUACAAUGUAACCUGGCUCCUUAAAACUGUUGGUUAAAUAAAGAUGCCAUGAACCUA